UACGAAGGGGGCUAGCGUUGUUCGGAGUUACUGGGCGUAAAGAGCUCGUAGGCGGCCUGUUGCGUCCGCUGUGAAAGCCCGGGGCUUAACCCCGGGUCUGCAGUGGAUACGGGCAGGCUAGAGGUAGGUAGGGGAGAAUGGAAUUCCCGGUGUAGCGGUGAAAUGCGCAGAUAUCGGGAGGAACACCGGUGGCGAAGGCGGUUCUCUGGGCCUUACCUGACGCUGAGGAGCGAAAGCGUGGGGAGCAAACAGG
rnacentral:rRNA from 1 species